AGAGUGCCAAGGGCCCUGUGGGUUACUGGCUCAAUUAAAGCCCAAGGCAAAAUGGCCAUUUUCUGCAUAAAAAUAGCUGCCAUUUCUAAACGAACGAAUCUACACAAAUAAUUUUGGGACAGGAACAGUGUCAGUGACCAAUAUUGUGCCCGUUAAACUAACAGAAAAGUUAUCAGACAGUUGUUGAGGAAAUUGAGUCCAAAUAUCCAAAUUGGCGGUUUUUGACAUAAAAAUGGCCGCCAUUUCCAAACGAACAAAUCUAUGACUAUAUUUUUUUGAUCUGAAAUAUGUCAACGACCUAUAUUACGCCCUUGACAAAUUAGAAACAAAGUUAUCAGCCAGUUUUUGAGAUAUCACAACAAACAGACGACGACAACGAUGGACGCUGCACCAUGACAUAGGGUUAGCGGCCUAUCGGCUGGUAACCCC